AUUGAACGCUGGCGGAAUGCUUUACACAUGCAAGUCGAACGGCAGCACGGACUUCGGUCUGGUGGCGAGUGGCGAACGGGUGAGUAAUGUAUCGGAACGUGCCCAGUCGUGGGGGAUAACGUAGUGAAAAUUACGCUAAUACCGCAUACGAUCUAUGGAUGAAAGCGGGGGAUCGCAAGACCUCGCGCGAUUGGAGCGGCCGAUAUCAGAUUAGGUAGUUGGUGGGGUAAAGGCCCACCAAGCCAACGAUCUGUAGCUGGUCUGAGAGGACGACCAGCCACACUGGAACUGAGACACGGUCCAGACUCCUACGGGAGGCCGCAGUGGGGAAUUUUGGACAAUGGGCGAAAGCCUGAUCCAGCCAUUCCGCGUGCAGGAUGAAGGCCCUCGGGUUGUAGACUGCUUUUGUACAGAACGAAAAGGUUUCUACUAAUACUAGGAGCUCAUGACGGUACUGUAAGAAUAAGCACCGGCUAACUACGUGCCAGCCGCCGCAGUAA
rnacentral:rRNA from 1 species